rnacentral:rRNA from 1 species
CCUACGGGUGGCAGCAGUGGGGAAUAUUGCACAAUGGGGGAAACCCUGAUGCAGCGACGCCGCGUGAGUGAAGAAGUAUCUCGGUAUGUAAAGCUCUAUCAGUAGGGAAGAAAAUGACGGUACCUGUCUACGAAGCCCCGGCUAACUACGUGCCAGCAGCCGCGGUAAUCCGUAGGGGGCAGGCGUUAUUCCGAUUUACUGGGUGUAAAGGGGGCGUAGACGGCAGAGCAAGGCUGAAGUGAAAGCCCGCGGGCCCACUGCGGGACUGCUUUGGAAACUGCCCUGCUAGAGUGCUCGAGAGGUAAGCGGAAUGCGUAGUGUAGCGGUGAAAUGCGUAGAUAUUAGGAGGAACUCCAGUGGCGAAGGCAGCAUACUGGACAGUAACUGACGUUGAGGCUCGAAAGCGUGGGUAGCAAACAGGAUUAGAUACCCGUGUAGUC